UACAGAGGGUGCGAGCGUUGUUCGGAAUUACUGGGCGUAAAGCGCGCGCAGGCGGCCCUUUAAGUCCGUCGGUCAAAUGCCGGGGCUCAACCCCGAGCGUGCCGAGGAUACUGGAGGGCUGGAGACACGUGAGAGGCAAGCGGAAUUCCGGGUGUAGCGGUGGAAUGCGUAGAGAUCCGGAAGAACACCGGAGGCGAAGGCGGCUGCUGGGCGUGAUCUGACGCUGAGGCGCGAAAGCGUGGGGAGCGA
rnacentral:rRNA from 1 species